GCCAGGCAUGGGUGGUGUGUGCCUGUAGUCCUAGCUACUCAGGAGGCUGAGGCAGGAGGAUCACUUGAGCGUGGGAGGUUCAGGCUGCAGUGAGCCGUGUUCGUCCACUGCACUCUAGCCUAGGCCACAGAGUGAAACCCUGUCUCAG
ensembl:misc_RNA Metazoa_SRP Metazoan signal recognition particle RNA